AAGACCCCAAUGCGUCGCGGAUGC
rnacentral:rRNA from 1 species